rnacentral:rRNA from 1 species
CCAAUAGCGUAUAUUAAAGUUGUUGCAGUUAAAAAGCUCGUAGUUGAAUUUCGGGAUUGACACAUCGGUCGUGCCUUAAGGGGUGUGAACUGGUGUAGUCAAUUUCUCACCUUCUGGAGAACCGCGAUGCCCUUAAUUGGGUGCGGCGAGGAACCAGGACCUUUACUUUGAAAAAUUUAGAGUGUUUAAAGAAGGCAUUUUUGCUGGAAUACAUUAGCAUGGAAUAAUAAAUUAGGACGGCAUGAUUCUAUUUUGUUGGUUUCUAGGACCACCGUAAUGAUUAAUAGGGAUAGUUGGGGGCAUUAGUAUUCAAUUGUCAGAGGUGAAAUUCUUGGAUUUAUUGAAGACUAACUACUGCGAAAGCAUUUGCCAAGGAUGUUUUCAUUAAUCAAGAACGAAAGUUAGGGGAUCGAAGACGAUCAGAUACCGUCGUAGUCUUAACCAUAAACUAUGCCGACUAGGAAUCAGACGAUGUUAAUUUUUUAAUGACUCGUUUGGCACCUUACG